rnacentral:rRNA from 1 species
GGGGAAUUGUUCGCACUGGGCGCAAGCCUGACGCCGCAACGCCGCGUGGAGGAUGAAGAUUUUCGGAUCGUAAACUCCUGUCGAAUGGGACGAAAGAGUUGCGGGUUAACAGCCCGUAGCUGUGACGGUACCGCUAAAGGAAACCCCGGCUAACUCCGUGCCAGCAGCCGCGGUAAUACGGCGGGUGCGAGCGUUGUCCGGAAUCACUGGGCGUAAAGGGCGCGUAGGCGGCAUGCCAAGCGUGUGGUGAAAGCCCGGGGCUCAACCCCGGGUCGGCCGUGCGGACUGGCGUGCUUGAGCACUGUAGGGGCGGGUGGAAUUCCGGGUGUAGCGGUGGAAUGCGUAGAGAUCCGGAAGAACACCGGUGGCGAAGGCGGCCCGCUGGGCAGGAAGACGGAGCAAUCCGUCGGCUGACGCUGAGGCGCGACAGCGUGGGGAGCAAA